ACGGGGGGUGCAAGCGUUGUUCGGAAUCAUUGGGCGUAAAGCGCGUGUAGGCGGCUUAACAAGUCAGAUGUGAAAUCCCUGGGCUUAACCCAGGAAGUGCAUUUGAAACUGUUUGGCUUGAGUAAGGGAGAGGAAAGUGGAAUUCCUGGUGUAGAGUUGAGGUUCUGUGUUCUCAGGAGGAGCACCGGAGGCGAGUGCGGCUUUCGGGAUGGAUACUGCGUCUGAGCCGCGAAAGCGGGGGUAUCUAACAG
rnacentral:rRNA from 1 species